UACGGAGGAUCCGAGCGUUAUCCGGAUUUAUUGGGUUUAAAGGGUGCGUAGGCGGGCAGGUAAGUCAGUGGUGAAAUCUCCGGGCUUAACCCGGAAACUGCCGUUGAUACUAUCUGUCUUGAAUAUCGUGGAGGUAAGCGGAAUAUGUCAUGUAGCGGUGAAAUGCUUAGAUAUGACAUAGAACACCCAUUGCGAAGGCAGCUUACUACACGAUCAUUGACGCUGAGGCACGAAAGCGUGGGGAGCAAACAGG
rnacentral:rRNA from 1 species